GGCUGGCCUGUUUCCCAGUAUCAUUUAUUGAAUACGGUCUUCUUUCUCCAUUGUUUAUUUUUGUCAACUUUGCUGAAGAUCAAUUGUUUGUAGGCAUAUGGCUUCAUUUCUGGCUUCCCUAUUCUGUUACAUUGGUGUAUGUGUCUAUUUUUGUACCAGUACCAUGCUGUUUUGUUUAUGCUAGCUUGUAGUGUAGUUUGAAGCCAGGCAAUGUGGUGCCUCUGGAUUUGUUCUUUUUGCUUAGAUUGCUUUGGAUAUUCUGGAGACAUGAGUUUCAUUCUUACUUCUUUACUGGUAUUAUGAUAUUUUUAAAAAACUACUCAUAUUUAAAAAGUGACCUAAAAUAAUUAGAACUUUAUAUAUUGGGUAUCUAGAUUAUUAUAGGUAUGACUAAUCAGAAAAGUUAAAAAAUUAUUGGUAGAGCACUAUUCACUAUCCACUGUUUGCCUCAAGGGCAGACAAGUCUGUGGUGCUGUUUAUGACCCAGCAGCUCCCUUGGAUCAAACCAAGUUUGACUUUAUCCUGCUUCCUUAUCUUCUACUACUUAGCUCCCUAAGCAGAAAACAUUGUAUAAAAAAAGACACCUGCACUAGUUUGCCCCAGGGUCUGAGUUUUAAGUAACCUAGGACAAGUUAGAGAGCUUCUGUGUACUUCAGUUUUCUCAUCUGUGAAGUAGGGACAAUAAUCUCAGAUCUUAAAAGAGGUAAAGUUUUAAAAGCACAUAGGUUGGUUCCUGGCACAAUUGGUAUGUAAAAAUAAAUUAGCUCCCUUUGUUUUCCUUUCUAGCCAGUCCAGUAUUGAAUUUUAUCAUGUUUUUGUUUCUCUAAUCCAGUAUUAAGUAAGCAAUGUAAAUUAAAUCCCAGGAAGAUAUCUGUAAUUUAAUUAAUUUUUGUCUCAUUUCAUUUGAAACUAGAAUGGGGGCCAGCAGUCAUCAUGAAAUGCAUCCUUUAUACUGGAGUCAGGCAUAAAGAAAUGGGUUAAUAAGCUUGUAUCAUUGAAAUCAAUAAUUGCUAGUAGUGUGUUGCCAUGCUUGCUGCACUUUUUACUGAUACUAAUACAUGCAUAAUAUUUGACUUGUGGAAACAGACUGAAAAAUGUGGGUUUCAUCAGAUUUCAGGUUGGGUUCUCCAAAAGCAGAGCCUUACACAAGGAUUUUGUGCUUGUGGCUCAUUGAGGGUAUUUUCACAAAACAAAAGACAACCAACAAGCCAGAGAAGAAAAAACUCCCAUCAUCAUAAGGAAGGGAGCUAAGUAGAAUAAGGCAGGGGAAGGGACAAAGCAAGGUAAAGUCUAAACAUGGUCUGUUCCAAGGGGGGCUCUGGGUCAUAAAAGCACCACAGAAUUGUCUGGCCUUGAGGCAACUAAAUAGGUCAGUAGCCAAUAAGAUGGCUACUUAUUUUGGGGGAGGGAGGUGAGGGAGGACUAUAACUUCCCUCCCCAGGUGACUGCUAUCAGUCUGGGGUGAAUUUUUCAGAGAAGAAGGCAGCUGUGAGCUGCUAGUAGCCAACACUCACUGCAGCUGAGGAAUUAGUGCCCAGGUCUGUUAAAGAGGGUGUGGGUGGGGCACACAGUGUCUUCAACCUACCAUCAGAUGAACAAAUCUAAGUUUUCAGGAGAACCUUCUUACUGUCAUAUGUAUGUAUCGGCAACACGAUGUAUUGUGUUUAGUGCAAUAGUAAGCCUCCUCUUCAUAGCCCACAGUAUUGCUGUCCAAUAGAAUAUAAAAUGGAAAAUAAAAGUAUUUUUAAAUUUUCUAGUUGCCUCAUUAAAAAUUAACAUGAAACAGAUGUACUUAAAUAAUAUAUUUCACUUUAAUUCAAUAUAUCCAAACAUUAUCAUACUAAUAUGUAAUCUAAAGCUUAUUAAUGACAUUUUCAUUCUUAUUUUAGCAGUAACUGUUCAAAAUCUGGGGUGAUUUUAAAAUGUAGUUGAGGGCUAUUAUAUUGAACAGCACUGGACCUCAGAGUCUAUAGGAGUGGUCGACUUCAAAGCUGUUGCUUUGUUGUCAGAUCUUAAGCAAUAAAUUCUGAUUUUAUUCUUCAUUGACAGCAUACACUUGAGGAAGUAGGGUAAAGUGAUAGGCAUACCUUUUAGGAGAAGUAGGGAAACAUGGGCUUUGGAGUUAAGUAGGCCUGGUUCUAAAUUCUCAUUCUGCUACUUCUGAUCUUGGCUAAUGUAUUUGCCCCAAUUUAUUAGACUCUGUUUCCUCAAAUGAGAAAUAGCAUAAUAUUUACACGGCAGAGUUAAGCAUUAAAGAAAAUGUGCCCUAAGUUUCCAACGCACACCUGGUCUGAAAGAGGUGCUCAGUAAGCCAGCAGUUAGUGCCUUCUCCUAUGGCUGAUGGAGUGUGUGUCUCCAUGUGGAGAAGAAAUGUAGAUUAAUCUUCCUCCAUUUUCUCUCACUUGUGUGCUCUCCAUCUCUUCAUUACUUUUAUUUUUCAUUGCGUAUUCUCACUUUCUGCUUUCUUUCCUAUUCUGUAUCUUUUCAUUCAAAAAUGAAUUUAUUAUCAUUCUUAUGUUUAUUUAGAGAUAGUGUCUUGCUAUGUUGCCCAUGCUGAAUUUGAACACCUGUGCUUUAAGUAAUUGAUCCUCCCACGUCAGCCUCCUGAAUAGCUGGGACUAUAGACGCUUACCACAACACUCAGCUUUCACUCACAAAUUUAAAUAAAACAUUGUUUUGAGGCUAAAUUAUUUUAUUACAAAGAUUUUCAAAGAUUAAAACUGCCUUAGAGGCCUAGUUCAAGUCCCAUCUUAUUUUAGAGAUGAAGACACUUGUUUGAAUGCUUCUUUCCUUUCUUGUUUCCUUCCUUCCCUUUCUCUGUGUGCUGGCUCCCCUCUGUAAGCUCAUGGUCUUCACUAUGAAAAUCGUCUUGGGUUUUGAUGUUGGUUAUUUUUGCAAGGCAGACCACUGGAACCAUAGUUUAACAAAUAAAAGAUCAGCUCCUCUUACACUUUAUGCCAAAACAAGCCUUGUGAGCAUUACAGAAAAACAAUCAACAAACAUUACUUCCAUGAUUAAUCACUGUAAUGAAUAUUAAUAACACAGCUGAUAUGAGCUCAGCUUUCUUUCAUUUACUAACAUUGAAGGUUCUUAAAUGUUUGCAAUUUAGUUCACAUGCUUCUUUUUAAGUUAAUUUUUUGCUUGAGUAAUGCUCUAGGAAAGAACAACAGCCAAAUCUGAGUGGCUUUGCAAUUGGUAGUGGUCUUAUGUAAACAGAAGCCUUCAUAUACAUUGUAAAUUUGCCCAUGGUUCACACUUAUUAAGUGUUCUCAGUGAACUAUGAGCACAUUUACAACACUGGGCAACACUGUCCAAUAGAAAUAUAAUGUUGAUCACAUGUGUAAUUUUAAAUUUUCUAGUAGCCACAUUAAAAAGUAAAAAAAGACAAAAAUUAAUGUAAAAAAUAUAUUUUAUCUAACUUAAUAUGAUCCAAUAAGUAACAUAUUUUCUCAGUACAUCUAUAGCCAACCCUCCUAGGUUUUCUUGAAGAAAAUGAAAAUUGUAUUCUGAAUGAUUUACAGAAGUCAAGCCCCAUUAUAGUAAGCAAAACUUGAUAGACAACUUCUCCAACUCUGAACAUGAGAUGGUCAAAGCAAGGUUAGACCUAUGAUAAUUAGGGUGGUCGGGUUCAGAUAUAUCUAACUUCUGGAGGUUGUGUAGGAGGGCAGGAAGUCAUGCUUAGACAAGGAAUGAGCUAAUUAAUGAUCCUAUUUAAAGGUCAGCCAUUUACUUUUUCAAUAGCCUAGUGACAUUUAUCCUAAGUCACUUAAGAAAUGUUAUAAAAUGUCACAGAUUCAUGUAGCAUUGCCAUAUGGAGGGCUUGGAUCCUAAAAUUGGUCUGCACAGGACUGUGUCUCUAUAUUGAUAAUAUAAUCAGAGGAAGCUGUUUCGGUUAGAACAGGAAUUGCAAGUUAGCAUCCGCAUUUUGACAGCUUAAUUUUAUUCAGUAGUCUAAUUCUCUGCAGAACUUAUAGAUCCUCAUACUGAUUUGCCAGAAUGGGGGAAUUUUGUCCAUUAAAAUGUGAUUUAGGAUUGGGAGCACAAAGUGGCCUUCUAAGAUCUCAUGCCAGAGACUGACACAGAUACAAGGGAAUGGAUGAAUUUAGGGUGUCAAAUUGUUGAUGCAUUCACACUUUUAAUAUUUGACAGGACUACAAACAAAAACGUUUUUCUGUGUAGUAAAUUAGUUCUAUUACUAGAUAAAUUCCCUUAAGUAAUGGAGAUUGUGAAAAAUGUUACAGAAAUUCUAGAGGAGGAUCAAAGUUGAGGAGGAAGUAACAGUGACCAGAGUUGGAAAAUAACUAUUAAGGUGGAACCAAAAAACUCAGAAGAUUGACAAAAUGUCAGACUAGCAAAUGUGGUAGACAUUUUCUGUGGCCAUCCAUCAUCCUGUUUAUCUUCUUUUGGCAGUAUUACCCUGAAUUCCAUAGGAAAAAUAUUUCUUCCCCAUUGCAUAGUAUCUGUGGUAGGAUUGUCAACCGCAUGUUCUUGCACUGCACUACCCUAGGAAAGUAGUGGACUCAUGUUCCAAGCCAUGUUGAUUGGUCUUUCCAUCCUGACUUUCUGAGUUCUGAGUGGACAGAUUCAAUGGCAGAAAAAUGACUUGGAACUGAUUAAUUCUGGGAGCAUGCUCUGAAGAGACCAUAAUCAUUUUCUUCCUAGAACCCCUGUUCUGUUCAGUUUCAAUUCCAGUUUCUAAGUUUUCCUUUGACUAAGAGUUACACAGUAUCCUUCCAAUAAAUUCCCUUUUGUAUACGGCAACUAGAGCCAUAUUAUUAGCUUAUCACAGGAGUAAGCAAACCAUAGCCCAGGGUUCAAUAUGGCCCACCACUUAUUUUUUUGCAAAUAAAGUUUUAUUAGAACCCAUAAAUGUACAUGCAUUUAAGUAUUAUCUAUGCUUACAUGCCAUAACAACUGAAGUGAGUAGUUGUGAUAGAAAUCUUAUGACCCAAGAACCUAAAAUAUUUAACACCUGGUCUUUUAAGAAAAAAAUUGCUUACCCCUAGCUUAUCAAAUGUCUUAGAAUGAGUUGUCUCAGAAGCAGACCCUGAAACAAACAUUUGAUUGCUAGUAGUUUACAAGUUGAUCCCAUGAGGAGUGAGGAAGUGAGAUAAGGAAGAAAACGAAGCAAUGAACCCUACAUUCCCAAGCAGGUUCCUGCAGUGUGCAAAUAGCUCAAUACCAUUGGAAAACAGCGUAGAAAUGUUUCAGAGUUUUUCCACCUGUCGAUUGAGUGAGACAGGGUAUUUACAUACUUACUCCUGAGGCCAGCUUGCAAAGUCAUUAACUCUCCUGGGCCUGCCUGGAAAUUAGCAGAAUGGGCUCCAGCAGACAGGACAAAAGCUCUGUGGCACACACCAUCUCUUGCCCCAAUUAUAGAAGCCUUAGAGUUAUAAUGCCCAGAAAUGGUGAGUGCUGAGAGCUUUAUAAGCAGGGCACGAAUAGUGUCUGCCACUCCAAAAAUCUUAGCUGGUAGGCAAGUUAGAAAACAAGCUCUUGGUGAGAUUAAUGCCCCUUCUCUUUUCCAGGGAACAUAAUUGUGUUAGUUCCAUCAUGAUGAAUGCAACUAACUCCUUGGGGAGGAUGGAGUUGGGGAAUAUGUGUAUUAGAAAAAACAUUAGCAUCAGAGCCUAGGAAGUUGGAUUUUGGUCCUGCUUUGGAUUCUAUUAUUUAUUGGCUAUGGUAAACUUUAACCAAGUUAUCUUUUUUCUCUGGGUAUCUCAACCUUCAGCAAACUGGUAGGGGUUUAUUUACAGAACAGUUCAGCAGGAUUCCAAGAGAAUGAGCAGAAGAAUGUAAACUCUUGAGGCCUGGGCUCAGCUCUGGCACCCCAAAACUUCCAUUGUAUUCUACGGCUAAAGCAAAAUACAAAAACCAGGUCAUAUUCAAAGGAAGGGGGAGAUAAACCACAUUGCACACCACUAUUUUGCAGUUAUACUUCAUUGCAAAGGGGUAUGGACACACAGAGAGAUGGAGAAUGGGAGCUAUUUUGCAGUUUGCUGUACAAGCCACGGCAGACUGCACAUGGAUAGUUGCACCACUGCACGCCCUAGUGUAUGAUACAACAGAGGCACAGACAGGCUUACUCAGAUCACAUUGCCAGUGAAUAAUGGAUCCAGGAUUCAAGUUGGCAUUUUGACCCAAAUCUGCAGCCUUAACCAUGAUGACACACUGUCCCUGUAUGUAUUAUUUCUAAUGCUGCCUGACGCACAUAUUCUAGCUACCACAUAAUAAACAUUCAUUGAUUAUUA